rnacentral:rRNA from 1 species
CCUACGGGCGGCAGCAGUGGGGAAUAUUGGGCAAUGGGCGCAAGCCUGACCCAGCAACGCCGCGUGAAGGAAGAAGGCUUUCGGGUUGUAAACUUCUUUUCUCAGGGACGAAGCAAGUGACGGUACCUGAGGAAUAAGCCACGGCUAACUACGUGCCAGCAGCCGCGGUAAUACGUAGGGGGCAAGCGUUAUCCGGAUUUACUGGGUGUAAAGGGCGGGUAGGCGGGAAAGCAAGUCAGAUGUGAAAACCACGGGCUCAACCUGUGGCCUGCAUGUGAAACUGUUUUUCUUGAGUACUGGAGAGGCAGACGGAAUUCCUAGUGUAGUGGUGAAAUGCGUAGAUAUUAGGAGGAACACCAGUGGCGAAGGCGGUCUGCUGGACAGCAACUGACGCUGAGGCGCGAAAGCGUGGGGAGCAAACAGGAUUAGAUACCCCAGUAGUC